rnacentral:siRNA from 1 species
UUUUGAAAUCGUGUUUGCAGUUGC